rnacentral:rRNA from 1 species
UACGUAGGGGGCUAGCGUUGUCCGGAUUUAUUGGGCGUAAAGAGCGUGUAGGCGGCCAAGUAGGUCCGGUGUGAAAACUCGAGGCUUAACCUCGAGAUGUCAUCGGAAACCAUUUGGCUAGAGUCCGGAAGAGGAAAGUGGAAUUCCUGGUGUAGCGGUGAAAUGCGUAGAUAUCGAGAGGAACACCUGCGGCGAAGGCGGGUUGCUGGGCUGACACUGACGCUGAGGCGCGAAAGCUAGGGGAGCGAACGGG